GGAGGAUCUUUUCCUAGCUUCUCGCAUCACCCUUAUCACCCUACCUUCUCUGAUCCUCAGCUCCACACCCGUACUCCCUCUGUUUGAAGACCUACCACGUCCCCUUCUGGCUUUUUGAACUUUGAAUUUUCACAAGAUUCUAAACUGCUUCCUCUCUCAGUUCUGAUAUCCUACUCAGUUUCAGAUGAGAAACUCCACCACAUAGAGUCGGACAGGGACCAGCCCAGUCUCCCAGCAAAGGGUGGUAGAAUUCACAAAGGAAGAAUCUUAUCUUCAACACUGACAUUCUCUGAACCACCACCCUGCAUGACUGCGGACGGCAUGGCAUGAUCCUGUUAGAUGAGGCUAUCAGUGCGUAUGAGCACAGACUUGAGUCCUGGCUCCACUGCUUGCUGGGUCCUUGGAGGGAUUUCACUUCUCUUUGCCUGUUUCCUCAUCUAUAAACUGGGGAUCCUGAGGUCGUUGCCGGGAUUAAAGGAGCCAAUAUCUGCAGAGGUCUCAGAACAGCACCUGAUGUGAUAAAGACCUUAUCCAGUUAAGUGUCUUAGCCAGUUCUCCAGGCUGCUAUCUUCCCAGCAAGCUACAGCACUUACAGCCAUCAUAAUUGCUUCCUUUAAUUCCAAAAAGCACUGCUAAUAAAUACUCUAGUGUUUACGAAAACAUUGCUAGAACCUAGAGUCCAUUGAUGACACCCCCCUCCAGUAAGUCACUUGUAGGACAUCUCUCUGCUCAGCCAUUUGCCUGCUGUUGAGUUGCAGGAGCCAGUUCUUAAACCUCGAAACAGAAGUCCUCUACAGCCUGUCCUCAGUGCCCCCAAGUCAAGCAUUCCAAAAUCUCUCCUUUAGCCCCAGCAAGUAAAAGCCCUGUUGAAAUAAUAAUUUCUACAGAUAUGCUCCCUGCUCACAGCAAGACUAUCUUUUACGUUGUUAUGCAAAGCAACUUAGCAACUCAUCCUGAAGUACUCUGUCCUAAAGCAGGACUUGCUUUUACCUUUGCAUAACUCAAAAGUCACAUUGUAAGUUGCUUUCUUAUAAAUAAAAGAGCAAUCUUCCCUUAAAGAAUUCU
ensembl:lncRNA